CAGCACCUCAAGUGGUCAGGAGGAUUAUUGGGCCUAAAGCAUCCGUAGCCUGCUUUGUAAGUUUUCGGUUAAAUCCAUAUGCUCAACAUAUGGGCUGCCGGGAAUACUGCAUAGCUAGGGAGUGGGAGAGGUAGACGGUACUCGGUAGGAAGGGGUAAAAUCCUUUGAUCUAUUGAUGACCACCUGUGGCGAAGGCGGUCUACCAGAACACGUCCGACGGUGAGGGAUGAAAGCUGGGGGAGCAAACCGGAUUAGAUACCCGAGUAGUCC
rnacentral:rRNA from 1 species